ACUCCUUGCAGCUGAAGAAGGGCAGGGGCUGAGGAAGCUGCAGCUGGGCAGAAGGGGGCUGAGCUGACACUGCAAAGCCCCAUGGGUGGGCUUUGGGCUCCAAGCAGGGGCCCUUGCCUGGGGAUCACUCCCCAACCACCACCUGGUCUCCCAGCCCUGCGGGCAGAAUGGGCUCCAGGGUAGCUCUCAGAACAACAGAGCCCUGUCCUCUCCCCUCUGCAGAUGGAACCCCCGGCAUCUGCUCCUAGUAGAGGCCAGUCUGGGCCUGACCUGGCAUUCCACCCUGCAGAUAGCGAGGAGGCACCCCAAGCACGGAGAAGACCCACCAAGCUGCCUGAUAUCUCUGUCUACCUCCCCUCUGCCCAGACAGGAACUGCUGUUCACCAUUCAUUCCAGACCUGGGCCUUUGAGGACAGGAGCUGUAAGGAUGAUUGAUCGAUUGCCUGUGUGUGAAGCCCUGGAAGGGCUCUUGCCUAGAAUACUGUCCCUACCCUGACAAGGUAGAGGCCAUGGUCUGGAUGGCGGUGGCCCCCCCAUUCAUAUGUCGAAACCUAACCCUCAAUGCAAGGUGGGGCCUGCAGGUGACCAGGUCCUGAAGCAGAGACCUCAUGAACGCGAUGAGUGCCCUUACACAAAAGCCUGGAGGGAGCCCGUCUUCCACCAUGAGAUGACACACAGAAGUCACCAUCUGUGAGGAAUGGGCCUCAACCAGACACUGAUUCUGCUGGAGGCUUGAUGCUGGACUUCCCAGCCUCCACAGCUGUGAACAAUACAUUUCCGUGGUUUUAUAAAUGACCCUGUCUAAGGCGAUCUGUUAUAGCAGCACAAAGGAACUAAGACAGUGGGCACCCGUAUUUCCAUUUAGAGGCGGAAACUGACUCUGAAGUGAGAACCGGUCCACUCUGAGAGCACAUCGCCAGGGGAAGAGGACUGUAGCCAGGAAGUUGUUAUGUCAUGGGGUCAUGGGAGGACCCAGCAAUGUUGUUUCUGAUGAUUUCUGAAAGGCGGCUCUUUUCUGGAAGUGGACAGAUGAUGGGGGAGGGGCAGGAAGCUGAAUUCACCACAGUGUCCGAGAACACCGUCUACCAGCGGGAGCUGUUCAGACACACCUCUGGCCAGUCCCCACGGCAGUGAAUCUCCUGUCUCUGGACAACAAUCCAACAGGGAAAGUGGGGAGUAGGGUUGGGAACUGAACUCUGUUCCACAAGUUCAACCACUGCACUCCACUAAGCAACUGGCACAGCCAGUCCCUGGUGAAGGCUUAAAGAUGAGGAAGAUGGGGUCAGCGCCUGCCCUCCUGGCCUCAACACAUCAGGAUGGAGGAUUUAGGUGUUAGCAAAAAGUGGCUCAAAGUUCCAAUGAAGGACAGGGAGCAAAGGGAGACUUCUUUUAGAAAGGAGACGUUGGAACUUGGAUAUGGCUUUAGUUAAGGAGCUCCAGGCAUCUCAAGUCAGCCCUGAGAGGCAGCGGCCGUGUCUGCCUCUCGGACAGCUAUGCCCCAGCCUCCAGCUCAGCAGCUGGCAGGCAGCAGGUGUGGGUGCAGGAAUGAGUGAACUCACGGGAACCAGCCUCGGCAAAGACGCACAGUCCCCACAGUGCCCCAGGGGCUGGGAAACAGUGAGCAGCCACCAGCAAGACCAAGGCAGCGCAAGUGGCCAUGGCUCAAGGUUUCCCCCAAGGAGGACUAUGUCACUUAAGGAGUAUGGCCUCUGAAGUAAUGUAAAUAUGGCCUGGAAGAUUCAGUCAACGCCUAUUUCCUUAGUGCCUACAAUGUGCAGGUGCAGUAUCUGCUCCCGGAGUUCAGUCAUGAACGAUGCCACAGUCAGCCCUGCCAACCCACCUGCAUCAGCUCAGGCACCCAGAGCAAUGUCACCUGGAUCUGCCCUCCCUCCCAUGUCACUGGACUCGCUGUCUUUUCCCUGCAAUGAAACCUCCAACAGCUUUCCCUGCCACUGUGGGUGGAAGGGCCCUCUUCCUCUUCCCACCUUCAUACAGCUUCCAGGCCACCUCCUUAAGAAUCCAAAGCAAUCUGCACACCACUUGGUGGGAAAUACACCGAAAUGUUAACUGUCCUU
rnacentral:lncRNA from 1 species